rnacentral:rRNA from 1 species
UCUGGAAACUNUCUGACUUGAGUGCAGAAGGGGAGAGUGGAAUUCCAUGUGUAGCGGUGAAAUGCGUAGAUAUAUGGAGGAACACCAGUGGCGAAAGCGGCUCUCUGGUCUGUCACUGACGCUGAGGCUCGAAAGCGUGGGUAGCGAACAGGAUUAGAUACCCUGGUAGUCCACGCCGUAAACGAUGAGUGCUAGGUGUUAGGCCCUUUCCGGGGCUUAGUGCCGGAGCUAACGCAAUAAGCACUCCGCCUGGGGAGUACGACCGCAAGGUUGAAACUCAAAGGAAUUGACGGGGGCCCGCACAAGCGGUGGAGCAUGUGGUUUAAUUCGAAGCAACGCGGAGAACCUUACCAGGUCUUGACAUCCCGAUGCUAUUCUUAGAGAUAGGAAGUUACUUCGGUACAUCGGAGACAGGUGGUGCAUGGUUGUCGUCAGCUCGUGUCGUGAGAUGUUGGGUUAAGUCCCGCAACGAGCGCAACCCUUAUUGUUAGUNGCCAUCAUUAAGUUGGGCACUCUAGCGAGACUGCCGGUAAUAAACCGGAGGAAGGUGGGGAUGACGUCAAAUCAUCAUGCCCCUUAUGACCUGGGCUACACACGUGCUACAAUGGUCGGUACAACGAGUUGCGAGCCGGUGACGGCAAGCUAAUCUCUGAAAGCCGAUCUCAGUUCGGAUUGGAGGCUGCAACUCGCCUCCAUGAAGUCGGAANC